rnacentral:rRNA from 1 species
UACGUAGGGUGCAGGCGUUAAUCGGAAUUACUGGGCGUAAAGCGUGCGCAGGCGGUCUGCUAAGAGAGGCGUGAAAUCCCCGGGCUUAACCUGGGAACUGCGCUUCUAACUGGCAGGCUUGAGUGUGGCAGAGGGGGGUGGAAUUCCACGUGUAGCAGUGAAAUGCGUAGAGAUGUGGAGGAACACCGAUGGCGAAGGCAGCCCCCUGGGCUAACACUGACGCUCAUGCACGAAAGCGUGGGGAGCAAACAGG